UCCGACUGACUGCAGCUACGCUUGAUUUUUUAGAGGUGCCUUCGAGUGACAGAGCCUCCCUCUUCUUUGGAAGGUUUCUCUUCAACUUGGCUAGAUCCUCAGGACUCAUCUCUAUAAUCAUUAAAAUAUGAUCAAAAAUAAGAAAGAAAGGAAACAAGAAAAGGAGAUGACUAUACUACUCACCCCUAGGAUCGGCUUGACUGAGCCCUAUAUUAUAGAGGGCUUCAUCGGAC
rnacentral:lncRNA from 1 species